UACGUAGGGCGCAAGCGUUGUCCGGAAUUAUUGGGCGUAAAGAGCUCGUAGGCGGUCUGUCGCGUCUGCUGUGAAAACUCGGGGCUUAACCCCGGGCCUGCAGUGGGUACGGGCAGACUAGAGUGCGGUAGGGGAGACUGGAAUUCCUGGUGUAGCGGUGAAAUGCGCAGAUAUCAGGAGGAACACCGGUGGCGAAGGCGGGUUUCUGGGCCGUAACUGACGCUGAGGAGCGAAAGCGUGGGGAGCGAACAGG
rnacentral:rRNA from 1 species